rnacentral:snRNA from 1 species
CACUUUGGCAGGACAUAUACUGAAAUUCCAAUCAUUCCAAUGAUACAGAAAUUAGCAUAGUUCUUGGGCAAGGAUUUCAGGCAAAUUUAUAAAGCACUCAUUCCAAUAAUUU